AGAUCCCUCGCGUCGUGUGGAUGAGAAGCUGCGUUCAGGUUCGAGCCGAGCGAAGCGAGACGACAACGCGAACGCGUUGCCCGCAGGGUGAGGCCAAAGGCCGAAUCAAUCCCGCACGACCCACCA
rnacentral:sRNA from 1 species